rnacentral:rRNA from 1 species
UACGUAGGGUGCGAGCGUUAAUCGGAAUUACUGGGCGUAAAGCGUGCGCAGGCGGUUCGUUGUGUCUGAUGUGAAAGCCCCGGGCUUAACCUGGGAAUGGCAUUGGAAACUGGCGAGCUGGAGUGCGGCAGAGGGGGGUGGAAUUCCACGUGUAGCAGUGAAAUGCGUAGAUAUGUGGAGGAACACCGAUGGCGAAGGCAGCCCCCUGGGCCGACACUGACGCUCAGGCACGAAAGCGUGGGGAGCAAACAGG